ACCCCCUGCCAGCAUUGGCAGCACCGCCACCAGCACCGCCGGCCUCAGGACCAAGCCCACCACCAGCGGGCGUUGACGGAGGCGGGUGUGCGGCUCUGGCGCAGCUGAGCCGUCGACCGCCGGAGCCAAUCCGGCAGUCCGGCAUUUCAGCUGCCGCACACUCGCCCGUCACAGGAUCAGAGGCCUCCCAAGACAGGUGCAGCUGAGACGGCGAAGUUCACCACACCGCUCCUCGGGUG